GUAGUCUCGCACAGAUGCAUAUCAAUAAGCGGAGGAAAAGAAACUAACAAGGAUUCCCCUAGUAACGGCGAGUGAAGCGGGAAGAGCUCAAAUUUGAAAUCUUAAAGGGUUUCCCUUUACGAAUUGUAGUUUAAAGAAGUGUUUUCUGUUGAGGUUUUGGUAAAAGUUCUUUGGAUAGGACAUCAUAGAGGGUGAGAAUCCCGUAUUUGACCUUUACUUUCAACCUUGUGAUACACUUUCAAAGAGUCGGAUUGUUUGGGAAUGCAGUCCAAAAUGGGUGGUAAAUUUCAUCUAAAGCUAAAUAUUGGCGAGAGACCGAUAGCGAACAAGUACCGUGAGGGAAAGAUGAAAAGGACUUUGAAAAGAGAGUUAAACAGUACGUGAAAUUGUCAAAAGGGAAGCGUUUGACACCAGUGUUGUUUUUCUGAAAAUCAAUUAAAGAACUGUUUAUGCUAAGUUGUUUAGACUUUAUCAGCUAUCUGUUUAGUUUUGAGCUUUUCUUUAAUGCACUUUUCAGUUAACAAGUCAACAUCAAUUUCUUUUGCUGUAAAAAAGCUUGAGGAAGGUGGCUUGAGAUUCGUCUUAAGUGUUUAUAGCCUCUUGCCUAUGCAGUCGGAGAGAUUGAGGUCUGCAGCGUAGAUCCUUCGGGGCUAAAUGCAUUUGUGCUAAGUUAUAGCAUUUUAUAGACAACUUGUUGACUAUGAUUUGUCUUGUAGCUUACUCGCUUAUGUUAUUUUACCUACGCUUAGGAUGUUGACAGCAGUAUAGACUGU
rnacentral:rRNA from 1 species